rnacentral:sRNA from 1 species
GGUAAAUGAAGCUGGCACACGGCCACACAGCUACAGCAUUGAUGGUGCAGGCGUCCGCGGAGCACGGCAUAAGGAGCGGUCUGCGACGCCCCAGCACCUCUCCCGUGCAGCCCCUGUGCUUGUCCUCCUGGCAUCUCAGGGCACUGGUUUCCUGCAUUCGCUUUGCUCCCCUUGUGCACGUUCUGUCUUCCCAGAAGAAGAGAGUUAGGGAAUUAAAAGGAGAGCGUUCUUCCGUGCGCAUAUCCUCUUCUCAGUUUAUUCAUUGAUGCAGAAAGCAGGCAGCUGGUCACCGGGUGUGCUGACGGCCAGCUUUGGAUCUUCAGUUUGAUGGAUGGACACCAUUAUCGUCGUGUGGCACGGGUUGACCUAAGGAAGAAGACAGAGACUUUCUCCACAAGAAGGGUUAAGUCUGGGCUGUGCAGCCAGCCAGAAGAAAGCCAGCUUCCCUCUACAAGUGCUCUGGGAAAAGGAGAGCAGGUUGAAGUAAC